GAUGAACGCUGGCGGCGUGCCUCAAACAUGCAAGCCGAGCGGGGCUAUGUAAUAUCGCAAGGUAGAACACAGCCUAGCGGCGAACGGGUGAGUAACACGUGGGUAACCUGCCUGGAAGACAGGGAUAACGAUUCGAAAGGGUCGCUAAUACCUGAUAAUAUCCUUUCAUCGCAUGGUGAUAGGAAGAAAGGGGAAACCCGCUUUCAGAUGGGCCCGCGUCCCAUCAGCUAGUUGGUAAGGUAAAGGCUUACCAAGGCGACGACGGGUAGCCGGUCUGAGAGGAUGUACGGCCACACUGGGACUGAGAUACGGCCCAGACUCCUACGGGAGGCAGCAGUUGGGAAUCUUAGGCAAUGGACGAAAAGUCUGACCUAGCGACGCCGCGUGAGGGAAGAAGGCCUCGGUUGUAACGUACUAGUCAUGGGAGGAAGAAGUAGAGGUACCCGAACGAACGGAAGACCCUCGCUACUACGUAGCCAGCAGCGCGGUAACGACCACCGUACAGU
rnacentral:rRNA from 1 species